AGUGAACGCUGGCGGUAGGCCUAACACAUGCAAGUCGAACGGCAGCACAGUAAGAGCUUGCUCUUACGGGUGGCGAGUGGCGGACGGGUGAGGAAUACAUCGGAAUCUACUUUUUCGUGGGGGAUAACGGAGGGAAACUUACGCUAAUACCGCAUACGAUCUACGGGUGAAAGCAGGGGAGCUUCGGACCUUGCCCGAAUUAAUGGGCCGAUGUGGGUUUAGCUAGUUGGGGGGGUAAAGACCCACCAAGGCGACCGACCGUAGCUGGUCUGAGAGGAUGAUCGGCCACACUGGACCGGAGACACGGUCCAGCCUCCUACGGGAGGCAGCAGAGGGGAAUAUUGGACAAUGGGCGCAAUCCUGAUCCAGCCAUACCGCGUGGGUGAAGAAGGCCUUCGGGUUGUAAAGCCCUUUUGUUGGGAAAGAAAAGCAGCAGGUUAAAACCCCGCUGUACUGACGGUACCCAAAGAAUAAGCACCGGCUAACUUCGUG
rnacentral:rRNA from 1 species